rnacentral:tRNA from 1 species
UCCCUGGUGGCUCAGACGGUAAAGCAUCUGUCUACAAUGCAGGAGACCCGGGUUCGAUCCCUGGGUUGGGAA